CAGCCGCCGCGGUAAUACGUAGGUGGCAAGCGUUGUCCGGAAUUAUUGGGCGUAAAGGGCUCGCAGGCGGUUUCUUAAGUCUGAUGUGUAAGCCCCCGGCUCAACCGGGGAGGGUCAUUGGAAACUGGGAAACUUGAGUGCAGAAGAGGAGAGUGGAAUCCCACGUGUAGCGGUGAAAUGCGUAGAGAUGUGGAGGAACACCAGUGGCGAAGGCGACUCUCUGGUCUGUAACUGACGCUGAGGAGCGAAAGCGUGGGGAGCGAACAGGAUUAGAUACCCCAGUAGUCCCUGUCUCUUAUAC
rnacentral:rRNA from 1 species